AAAUUGAAGAGUUUGAUCAUGGCUCAGAUUGAACGCUGGCGGCAGGCCUAACACAUGCAAGUCGAACGGUAACAGGAAGCAGCUUGCUGUUUCGCUGACGAGUGGCGGACGGGUGAGUAAUGUCUGGGAAACUGCCUGAUGGAGGGGGAUAACUACUGGAAACGGUAGCUAAUACCGCAUAACGUCGCAAGACCAAAGAGGGGGACCUUCGGGCCUCUUGCCAUCGGAUGUGCCCAGAUGGGAUUAGCUAGUAGGUGGGGUAACGGCUCACCUAGGCGACGAUCCCUAGCUGGUCUGAGAGGAUGACCAGCCACACUGGAACUGAGACACGGUCCAGACUCCUACGGGAGGCAGCAGUGGGGAAUAUUGCACAAUGGGCGCAAGCCUGAUGCAGCCAUGCCGCGUGUAUGAAGAAGGCCUUCGGGUUGUAAAGUACUUUCAGCGGGGAGGAAGGGAGUAAAGUUAAUACCUUUACUCAUUGACGUUACCCGCAGAAGAAGCACCGGCUAACUCCGUGCCAGCAGCCGCGGUAAUACGGAGGGUGCAAGCGUUAAUCGGAAUUACUGGGCGUAAAGCGCACGCAGGCGGUUUGUUAAGUCAGAUGUGAAAUCCCCGGGCUCAACCUGGGAACUGCAUCUGAUACUGGCAAGCUUGAGUCUCGUAGAGGGGGGUAGAAUUCCAGGUGUAGCGGUGAAAUGCGUAGAGAUCUGGAGGAAUACCGGUGGCGAAGGCGGCCCCCUGGACGAAGACUGACGCUCAGGUGCGA
rnacentral:rRNA from 1 species